UCAAAACCUUCACAUAUCAGUAUAAUGUUUAAUUUACUCGGAUGAUUUUUUGCACUCUAUCAAUAAUAUUGAAACAUUCGCUUCUUUUUCUGGUUGAAUCCUGAUUUACAGCAAACUCCUUCUUCACCUCUCUCUAGAAAUGGUUAAAUUUCCCAACUAGUGAGAUUUAAGGUCUCAGCUUCAGAUGGAAUUGAUGACAUCUUAUGUAUUUGGAGUGGAUUAAGGGAGAGAGAUAGAGAAAGAGAGAAAUGUACAUUGGGGGAUGAAGAAAGCAAAAAGAGAUAUAAGUGGUAGAAAAUGGUUUAAUAGUGAAGGGUCAUAUACAUUGAUUAAAGUGGCCGUAGGUGGAUUCUUUUUAAGAAGGUAAGGA
rnacentral:lncRNA from 1 species